rnacentral:tRNA from 1 species
AUUAAGAUGGCUGAAACUUAAGCAAUAAAUUGUAAAUUUAUUAAUGAAUAAAAUUCUCUUAAUA